rnacentral:lncRNA from 1 species
AAACUUCAAAUAUAUAUCCCCCCUGUCGUUUCACACUUUCUCACUUUAGUACCUUGUGGUUUAAAGUGUAUCAAGUUACCUCUUGUGGUGUUCGCACUUUUUCACUUUAGUACUCUGUGGUUUAAAGUGUAUCAAGUUAUUACUCUGUGGUUUUAUUUUUCUCUUUUUAUUACUCAUUUCACUAAUUUGUUUCGUUAAAUCAGUGAUAAAGUUAAAAUUAAAGGGUACUGAAAUAAAUAUUCGAUAAACCUAGAGAGAGUAUUUGAAGUUUUUUGUAUAUAAUUUAACGAAAUAUUAACAGAGGAAAAAAAAUAAGUGCAGAGUUAAAACUAAAGGAUAAUAAAGUAAAUUUUCGAUAAAUCUAGGUAGGGUAUCUGAAGUUUUUUGUAUGUAAUUUAACGAAAUAUUAACAGAGGAGCCGACGAAAAGAGAAAAAUAAAACCACAGGAUACUAAAUUGAUGUACUUUAAAUCACAGGGUACUAAAGUGAGAAAGUGCGAAACCACAGGGUACUAAAUUGAUACACUUUAAACCACAGGGUACAUAAGUAAAAAAGUGCGAAACCACAUGGAUGGUAUUUGAAGUUUUCCCAAUUAUAAAUGAAAGAUCCAAGAAUCAGUUUUAGGCAUGUUCCUUUACUACUAAUGUUCGCGUAACAAAAAAACAAAAGAUUAUCCUUUCCAAUUGAAACGAAGUUCACAUAGUCUUGAGUAAGGUUUUAAAAUUUAGAAAGCCACCUCUGUUGGCUUAAAGAGGCCACCAUUCUGUCCGACGGCGGAAGGUAAGGUGGAAUCGAGUUAUUCUCGAAAUGGCGGAAGACUGAAUUGGGUCAAGUCACAAUCGAGAUUCAUGAGCGCAGUAUUUGUACGCUUUAAGUUAAAUUAAUUACAUUUUUUUACCAACUCAAGCUUUUAAAAUUAUUAAUGAUUAGUGCCAACGAUCCUACAGUCCGUAAAUACUAAGUUUAGAUAGGUCUUGUAAAAUGAAUUAU